rnacentral:rRNA from 1 species
UGGGGAAUAUUGCACAAUGGGCGCAAGCCUGAUGCAGCCAUGCCGCGUGUAUGAAGAAGGCCUUCGGGUUGUAAAGUACUUUCAGUCGGGAGGAAGGUGUCAAGGUUAAUAACCUUGGCAAUUGACGUUACCGACAGAAGAAGCACCGGCUAACUCCGUGCCAGCAGCCGCGGUAAUACGGAGGGUGCAAGGGUUAAUCGGAAUUACUGGGCGUAAAGCGCACGCAGGCGGUUGAUUGAGUCAGAUGUGAAAUCCCCGGGCUUAACCCGGGAAUUGCAUCUGAUACUGGUCAGCUAGAGUCUUGUAGAGGGGGGUAGAAUUCCAUGUGUAGCGGUGAAAUGCGUAGAGAUGUGGAGGAAUACCGGUGGCGAAGGCGGCCCCCUGGACAAAGACUGACGCUCAGGUGCGAAAGCGUGGGGAGCAAACA